GAUGAACGCUGGCGGCGUGCCUAAUACAUGCAAGUCGAGCGAACGGACGAGAAGCUUGCUUCUCUGAUGUUAGCGGCGGACGGGUGAGUAACACGUGGAUAACCUACCUAUAAGACUGGGAUAACUUCGGGAAACCGGAGCUAAUACCGGAUGAUAUUUUGAACCGCAUGGUUCAAAAGUGAAAGACGGUCUUGCUGUCACUCAUAGAUGGAUCCGCGCUGCAUUAGCUAGUUGGUAAGGUAACGGCUUACCAAGGCAACGAUGCAUAGCCGACCUGAGAGGGUGAUCGGCCACACUGGAACUGAGACACGGUCCAGACUCCUACGGGAGGCAGCAGUAGGGAAUCUUCCGCAAUGGGCGAAAGCCUGACGGAGCAACGCCGCGUGAGUGAUGAAGGUCUUCGGAUCGUAAAACUCUGUUAUUAGGGAAGAACAUAUGUGUAAGUAACUGUGCACAUCUUGACGGUACCUAAUCAGAAAGCCACGGCUAACUACGUG
rnacentral:rRNA from 1 species